GGAGAGAUGGCUCAGAGGUUAAGAGCACUGACUGCUACUCCAGAGGUCCUGAGUUCAAUUCUCAGCAACACCA
rnacentral:tRNA from 1 species